rnacentral:tRNA from 4 species
UAGGCCGAGCUGGAUUUGAACCAGCGUAGACAUAUCGUCAACGAAUUUACAGUCCGUCCCCAUUAACCGCUCGGGCAUCGACCCA